rnacentral:rRNA from 1 species
GUCGAGAAUUUUUCUCAAUGGGCGAAAGCCUGAAGGAGCGACGCCGCGUGGGGGAUGAAGGGCUUCGGCUCGUAAACCCCUGUCAUUCGCGAACAAUUCCUCCAGCCUAACACGUUGGAGGUUGAUGGUAGCGGAAGAGGAAGGGACGGCUAACUCUGUGCCAGCAGCCGCGGUAAUACAGAGGUCCCAAGCGUUGUUCGGAUUCACUGGGCGUAAAGGGUGCGUAGGCGGCGGGGAAAGUUUGAUGUGAAAGCUCCGGGCUUAACCCGGAAAUUGCAUUGAAAACUCCCCCGCUAGAGGAUUGGAAGGGAGACUGGAAUUCUCGGUGUAGCAGUGAAAUGCGUAGAUAUCGAGAGGAACAUCAGUGGCGAAGGCGAGUCUCUGGACAAUUCCUGACGCUGAGGCACGAAAGCCAGGGUAGCAAACGGGAUUAGAUACCCUAGUAGUCC